rnacentral:rRNA from 1 species
UCGGGAAUUUUGUGCAAUGGGCGAAAGCCUGACACAGCAACGCCGCGUGAAGGAUGAAGUCCCUCGGGAUGUAAACUUCGUAAGAAUAGGAAGAAUAAAUGACGGUACUAUUUGUAAGGUCCGGCUAACUACGUGCCAGCAGCCGCGGUAAUACGUAGGGACCAAGCGUUGUUCGGAUUUACUGGGCGUAAAGGGUGCGUAGGCGGCAUAUCAAGUCACUUGUGAAAUCUCCGGGCUUAACUCGGAACUGCCAAGUGAUACUGAUGUGCUAGAGUGCAGAAAGGGCAACUGGAAUUCUUGGUGUAGCGGUGAAAUGCGUAGAUAUCAAGAGGAACACCUGAGGCGAAGGCGAGUUGCUAGGCUGACACUGACGCUGAGGUACGAAAGCUAGGGGAGCGAACGGGAUUAGAUACCCACGUAGUCCCUGAGCGGGCUGGCAAGGCGCAU